rnacentral:rRNA from 1 species
CCUACGGGUCGCAGCAGUAGGGAAUCUUCGGCAAUGGACGAAAGUCUGACCGAGCAACGCCACGUGAGUGAAGAAGGUUUUCGGAUCGUAAAACUCUGUUGUUAGAGAAGAACAAGGACGUUAGUAACUGAACGUCCCCUGACGGUAUCUAACCAGAAAGCCACGGCUAACUACGUGCCAGCAGCCGCGGUAAUACGUAGGUGGCAAGCGUUGUCCGGAUUUAUUGGGCGUAAAGCGAGCGCAGGAGGUUUCUUAAGUCUGAUGUGAAAGCCCCCGGCUCAACCGGGAGGGUCAUUGGAAACUGGGAGACUUGAGUACAGAAGAGGAGAGUGGAAUUCCAUGUGUAGCGGUGAAAUGCGUAGAUAUAUGGAGGAACACCAGUGGCGAAGGCGGCUCUCUGGUCUGUAACUGACGCUGAGGCUCGAAAGCGUGGGGAGCAAACAGGAUUAGAUACCCUCGUAGUC